UCUUCAGGCAAAUGUAAGCUACAGGACCA
rnacentral:piRNA from 1 species